UGGAAGACUAGUGAUUUUGUUGUUGUCUUACUGCGCUCAACAACAAAUCCCAGUCUACCUAA
rnacentral:pre_miRNA from 1 species